rnacentral:rRNA from 1 species
GAUAAAAAGCCAGUUCAUGCUUUUACAGUAUGAAAAUUGGUGAUUUAUAAUAACUUAGCAAAUCGCAAAGUGAAAACAGGCGAUAAAUCAUUCAAGUUUCUGACCUAUCAGCUUUCGACGGUAUGGUAUUGGCUUACCGUGGCAGUGACGGUUAACGGGGGAUUAGGGUUCGAUUCCGGAGAGGGAGCCUGAGAAACGGCUACCACAUCUAAGGAAGGCAGCAGGCGCGCAAAUUACCCAAUUCUAACAGUUUGAGAGAGGUAGUAACAAGAAAUAACAAUACAAGGCAGUUAAAAUGCUUUGUAAUUGGAAUGAUAGAAAUUUAAACCCUUUUUAAAGUAUCAAUUGGAGGGCAAGUCUGGUGCCAGCAGCCGCGGUAAUUCCAGCUCCAAUAGCGUAUAUUAAAAUUGUUGCAGUUAAAAAGCUCGUAGUUGAAGUUCUGCUGAAAGUAACCGGUCUGCUUUUAAUAAAAGUGGUAUCUUGGUAUGUAUUUAGCAAUGAUGUCCUUUGAAGUGUUUUUUACUUUAUUGUAAUAAAGCAUAUUCAGGACUUUUACUUUGAGAAAAUUAGAGUGUUUCUAGCAGGCUAACGCUUUGAAUACUGCAGCAUGGAAAUAAUAAG